AGUUUGCUAGGCCUAGGCUUCUUGGGCCUUAGGCCUCUUCACAUUAUCAUUCGGAUAGAAUUUUCUCUAACACAUGCCCUCCUACUCCUAAGUCUGAGCUUUGGUCAGACGAGGAAAGAAAUCCUGUGUGCACCGACCAAGAAUGUGAAGAGCUAUUCCACUGGUGGGGUAUGCGCAUAAUUUUCGAGGCACGCCUGCACUUCUAUGCCCACAUUGAAAGCACGUUGCCUCGAAGUCUGAGAGAG
rnacentral:lncRNA from 1 species